AACGAACGCUGGCGGCAUGCCUAACACAUGCAAGUCGAACGAGACCUUCGGGCCUAGUGGCGCACGGGUGCGUAACGCGUGGGAAUCUGCCCUGGGGUGCGGAAUAACUCGGAGAAAUCCGUGCUAAUACCGCAUAAUGUCUUCGGACCAAAGAUUUAUCGCCCUGGGAUGAGCCCGCGUAGGAUUAGCUAGUUGGUGGGUAAAGGCCUACCAAGGCGACGAUCCUUAGCUGGUCUGAGAGGAUGAUCAGCCACACUGGGACUGAGACACGGCCCAGACUCCUACGGGAGGCAGCAGUGGGGAAUAUUGGACAAUGGGCGAAAGCCUGAUCCAGCAAUGCCGCGUGAGUGAUGAAGGCCCUAGGGUUGUAAAGCUCUUUUACCCGGGAUGAUAAUGACAGUACCGGGAGAAUAAGCUCCGGCUAACUCCGUGCCAGCAGCCGCGGUAAU
rnacentral:rRNA from 1 species